rnacentral:rRNA from 1 species
AAGCCAGUGGUGAACUCCACAUACGCAUCCUUUGCUGAGGAUACGGUUAACGGAGCGAAAGCGACGUUCAACCGCAAAACAAGCAGAGGGGGCUUAGUGGUGGGGUGACUGCGUACCUUUUGUAUAAUGGGUCAGCGACUUAUAUUCUGUAGCAAGGUUAACCGAAUAGGGGAGCCGGAGGGAAACCGAGUCUUAAUUGGGCGUUAAGUUGCAGGGUAUAGACCCGAAACCCGGUGAUCUAGCCAUGGGCAGGUUGAAGGUUGGGUAACACUAACUGGAGGACCGAACCGACUAAUGUUGAAAAAUUAGCGGAUGACCUGUGGCUGGGGGUGAAAGGCCAAUCAAACCGGGAGAUAGCUGGUUCUCCCCGAAAGCUAUUUAGGUAGCGCCUCGUGAAUUCAUCUCCGGGGGUAGAGCACUGUUUCGGCUAGGGGGCCAUCCCGGCUUACCAACCCGAUGCAAACUGCGAAUACCGGAGAAUGUUAUCACGGGAGACACACGGCGGGUGCUAACGUCCGUCGUGAAGAGGGAAACAACCCAGACCGCCAGCUAAGGUCCCAAAGUCAUGGUUAAGUGGGAAACGAUGUGGGAAGGCCCAGACAGCCAGGAUGUUGGCUUAGAAGCAGCCAUCAUUUAAAGAAAGCGUAAUAGCUCACUGGUCGAGUCGGCCUGCGCGGAAGAUGUAACGGGGCUAAACCAUGCACCGAAGCUGCGGCAGCGAACGUAUCACUUAAAGCGAUUCAGCGGGUUACGAUUGACGGAGCGAAGCGACGUCAAAGCGUAUACAAAGUCGAGUCGGUUUAAGGAUACGUUCGUUGGGUAGGGGAGCGUUCUGUAAGCCUGCGAAGGUGGCCUGUGAGGGUUGCUGGAGGUAUCAGAAGUGCGAAUGCUGACAUAAGUAACGAUAAAGCGGGUGAAAAGCCCGCUCGCCGGAAGACCAAGGGUUCCUGUCCAACGUUAAUCGGGGCAGGGUGAGUCGACCCCUAAGGCGAGGCCGAAAGGCGUAGUCGAUGGGAAACGGGUUAAUAUUCCCGUACUUGGUGUUACUGCGAAGGGGGGACGGAGAAGGCUAUGUUGGCCGGGCGACGGUUGUCCCGGUUUAAGCGUGUAGGUGUGUGUUCCAGGUAAAUCCGGUUCACUUUAACACUGAGGCGUGAUGACGAGGCACUACGGUGCUGAAGCAACAAAUGCCCUGCUUCCAGGAAAAGCCUCUAAGCAUCAGGUAACAUCAAAUCGUACCCCAAACCGACACAGGUGGUCAGGUAGAGAAUACCAAGGCGCUUGAGAGAACUCGGGUGAAGGAACUAGGCAAAAUGGUGCCGUAACUUCGGGAGAAGGCACGCUGACACGUAGGUGAAGUGAUUUACUCAUGGAGCUGAAGUCAGUCGAAGAUACCAGCUGGCUGCAACUGUUUAUUAAAAACACAGCACUGUGCAAACACGAAAGUGGACGUAUACGGUGUGACGCCUGCCCGGUGCCGGAAGGUUAAUUGAUGGGGUCAGCGCAAGCGAAGCUCCUGAUCGAAGCCCCGGUAAACGGCGGCCGUAACUAUAACGGUCCUAAGGUAGCGAAAUUCCUUGUCGGGUAAGUUCCGACCUGCACGAAUGGCGUAAUGAUGGCCAGGCUGUCUCCACCCGAGACUCAGUGAAAUUGAACUCGCUGUGAAGAUGCAGUGUACCCGCGGCAAGACGGAAAGACCCCGUGAACCUUUACUAUAGCUUGACACUGAACAUUGAGCCUUGAUGUGUAG